rnacentral:rRNA from 1 species
UACGAAGGGGGCUAGCGUUGCUCGGAAUCACUGGGCGUAAAGGGUGCGUAGGCGGGUCGUUUAAGUCAGGGGUGAAAUCCUGGAGCUCAACUCCAGAACUGCCUUUGAUACUGAAGAUCUUGAGUUCGGGAGAGGUGAGUGGAACUGCGAGUGUAGAGGUGAAAUUCGUAGAUAUUCGCAAGAACACCAGUGGCGAAGGCGGCUCACUGGCCCGAUACUGACGCUGAGGCACGAAAGCGUGGGGAGCAAACAGGG